GUCAAAGGUCAGCGGUGACGGCGGCAUCUCCAGCCACAGCACAGAAUAAUGGACCUUUCCUCUGGUGAAGCCUCUGAAGUUCUACUAAAACCAGAGAUUGGAGAUGAAAUCACAGAUUCUCCUCACACCCAUAAAGCUGACUGUCCACCUGCAGUGUGCACACACACACACACACACACACACAUACACACGGUGCACUGCCAGCCCUGCAUUCAGAGCACGGCUCAGUUAAUCUCCUGCCUUAUUCCACGCUGCGCAUCUGGAAAAUAAUAAUAUCACCAUGAGAAAUUUAUAUGCUACAUGCACAAGUGUAUGUGUGAUAGAGUCAAAGAAUUGUGGCGAGGAGCGCCCGUCCUUCGCUGGCACGGGAAAACUCGCAAACCGUUGCCCGCACUGGCUGAUUCGGCGAAGGCCUCGUGGACCAGAUGUGCUUCACGUUCGGUGGUGCCAAGCACAUUUGGCUCCCCGCGAGAACAAUUAAAUGGGGUAAAAAUCUUUUGGCGUGUGGAAAUGGGGUGUGUGUUUGAUUGUCUGCAUAUUCGGCAGACAAAUUUAGCCAGAGUUUUUCCCAAAUUGGUUCGAAAUACAAGCCAAAAAACCAAAAGCUGUGUUAUAUAAUCACUGCACAUGCUCUCUGAGCUCACAUUGUAAAAGUUCAAGGCUAUGAGUUUUCUCAGGGUCACAGCCAGCAUGUUUUUUUUUUUAUACUCUCCUGCUAGUUUUGUUGCACCGUUGCCUUGUUGUCAUUAAUAUUAAUCCACUUUUAUUACUCUGUCACAGCAUGAGCUGCUCAACAAAAGAAUCCCAGGAAUCAAUAGCAGAGGUACAUUCUUGAAUCUUGAAUAAACUCACUGUGCCCUUAGCAACAAGGACGCACUGUGGCACUGUGAGGUGAUUGUGUUGCUAACAAGCUAUCUAGCUAGCGUGAUG